UAGAAAAAAUUAUUGCUAAGAAUAACAGCUACAACAAUAACAGUAAAAAAGAAAAAAAAAAAAAUGCAGCCAUGAAUAGCCCAGCCUCUUUUAAUUCCUUUUCAUAUUUCACGUGACACUCGCAUUUCCUUAACUCAGUUUCCAAGGCAGGCGAAUUAACAGCAAUCACUGCCUACAAAUUACAGGCGAGGGGACACAUUAAUCACCUUGUUCAGUGCAUACGAGUAAUUUUACAAUAACGUUAAAGUUCGUCAUGAAUUUUCUCCCCCUCCUCUCUUUGGCCACGCGUUGAGCAAGGAGUAGGGACGAGGCUUGGAGGCAAAGAAACUUAAGCCUGCUGUACUGGACUCACCCUGCGUGACUAGAAUGAUAAAAGAAAACGAAUUAUGUUAUACUACCCGCAUAAAUCAAGAUUUCUACUAUUACUAUCCUCACAGCGUCCUGGCAGAAAAUCAGGAGCUCGAGAAAUAAACCGAAGUACAGGAUUAAAAGUACAGGCAAGGUAGAACAAACGUAGACGUGGGGAGGUUCACUGACCCGCCCUGACCUGCUGGUGAGUGUGAGGGGCUCCGCGGGGGAAGGUUCUGGCUGAGCGGGCAAAGCAAAUUGGCGCAUAAACCAACAUAAACCACAUCUGACAGAUAAGAGUUUCUCAUUACGGGCGGUAAGUGACAGGCAUGAGUUCCGUUUUGGCACGGUUGGGGCUCUUCCCUCCCCACUCGCGGGCAGCCUCCUCCCCGUCUGUCCGUUACGUCGUGCGUCUGGCAGCGUCAAUACGCACAUCGGAGCAGCAGCUGGGUGUCGGCGGGCCACAGGUGCUAUCAGCAGCUUGAUAUUCGUUGCACGACAUGACACACACACACACACCAUAACAGGGUAACGAACCAGUAUUAAACACGAGUGGCCUAAAUUAAGUGAGUGAUCUAGGUUUCCUUAUAGCAGGGAUGACAAGUUAUGAUGACACAGCAGUACACUCUCGUGUCAAAAUCAACCCGGAAGAAUAAGAAGGAAUCAGCCUCGCCUGCAAGGAAGGACCACGUGAUACAGAUGACUUGAGAACGUUCCCUGCAGCGCUCUCCUCCUCCUCCUCCUCCUCCUCCUCUUCCUUUUCCAGACAUCAAAUCCACUUCUGCUUCGUGACGCUUAAGGAGUGUGUCAUCGCCGCCGCUGCCGCCGCUCCCACGUGAGAGCUUAGCGGCACAACCCACCACGUGAGACGACCUCUGCGUAACAUUUCACGUGAUUACUAAAGGAAAUACACACCCGGGAGCUUGCAGACUAAAGGGGAAGACACAACUAUGACGAAAACACAGGCACAACGGAACGUAAACGAUAAAAUACCAACAGACGUACACUGAAGAAGGAUGUGAAAAUUAUGAUCAAAUUUUGAUCUAGGGGGAAAAAUGUAGAGAACGAAAGGGAAAAUAGAGUACGAAAGUGUAAGUGAUUUGCGGAUUGUAUAAGAGGAAUACACUGUUCAAAUAAAUCUAUUGAAUUUAA